ACAGACAGCCCCGCAAACUCUCUUUUGAAUGCUCCAAGGUAACUUCCCAAGGACCAGAAAGUUCUGGCUUGGACUCCUGAAUCAUCUGGUGACUUCAAGAUUCUGGUCUCAGGGUGGUGAACUUUUUCUUUGAAUUCCUCACCUAUGAGCUUAUGAUGAUGGUGCCUGUCAAUUAACUGAACUACUGUGGUUUUGAAUUUCUUGAGGCCAGGGACUUUGUCUAAAAACACAUUCAGUGAUUAUAUAAGGAAGACGUCUGGUGAAUACCCGUGGGAUCUAAAGAACAAGUAAGAUUUAAGCAUGCUAUGGGUUUUUUGGUCUGUUUUUCAAGUUUUCUUUGUUUUAUAGUAUUUCUUUACCACUAUAAAUUGUCACUUCUUAGAUAAGCAUUAGCACUUUUAUUAUGGAGCAUGAGGAAUAAAAAUGAACUUUUAACACUUUUGGAUUAUUUGGAGGCUUUAAAAACCUACACGAAUUUUCUACAUAUGGUAGGCAGACAGAAAGACAUUAUAGAUGGAGUGAAAUUUCAAGCCCAAAGUAAUGGGCAUGUUUUUAUGCUGAGUGAGUACAAAUCUUUAGAAUGAAUUUUUAUAAGGUAAUUUUUAAAUGAAGUGUCUAUUGCUAUAGCUGUUUUACUCUUACCUCUUGCCUAACAGAACAGGUCAGAGAGUAGUUCCUUUGAAGUCCCAAACCUACUUACUACCUGCAGAACCAUGACUUGGUACCAGAGAAUUUGGGCAAUAUGGGGUACAUUCCCCAAAUUAGAAUGUAAUAUGUUGGGAUGAUGAGGAGAGGGGCUUUAGUUAAUAGAGUAGAAAAGAGAAUAGGUGAGAUAAUGGUCAAAAGUAAAGCAAAUGAAGAGGGGAAAGUUGAAAAUAAUCAUAGGGAAUAAAGCAGAUCACCAUAAAAAUAAAAAGAGUAAACAAAUAGAUUACAUAAUAUUUUAUUAUCAACUAUUGAAAGAAAGGAUACAGAAAUAGGACAAAAUAAGAAUAGAGUAGAAACUGGAAUCUAAAGAGAGGUAGAGACAGGAUAUGUAACAGGUUAUACUUGAUUAAAAUAGAGAAAUAAAAGAGGAAGUGUUCUAAGAUAAAGUUCCAUUUUUAAUUUUUCCUACUUAUUUGACAAUUUACUUAGUUGAAACUAGAUCUUGAGUGGUUUAAAAAAUAGAAAUGUUGAAUAUUUUUAUCUGUUUCAUUGAAGAAGGAAAAAUUGUAGUCAUCGUAUAAUUAUUUGAUGUUUUGGAGAUUUUUGCUUUAUGCGCAAUUCAAGCCAUGUUCAAAUGAAGAAAAUGUUUCUUGAUUUGUAUCAAGUUUUCCUUGAGUGUUCUAACCCUGCUCUACUCUUGAAAUCACUUGACUUUGAAAAAAGGGAAAAUCAUGCAUUUAGAAAGGUUAAAUAAGUCAUUAUAAUGUCUUUCUCAUCUACAGAAAGCAUGUGUUAACCAAUAUAAAUUUACAGUCAGAACAGUUCAAAUUGCUCCUGCAUUCAGGAAGGCAAAGCCCUAAAUUGAGCCUGUUGUUAUUGUGUAAUUGCUAUUUGCAGGCAAAAGAAAGGUUAACACUGGGACUUCCCUUCAUGGCUCAGGGAAAAGGCCGCAGGUUCCAUCCCUGGCCUUACUAAGUGGGUUAAGGAUCCUGCAUUGCUGUAAGCUGUGUUGUAGGUCGCAAACAUGGCUCGGAUCCCAUGUUGCUAUGGCUAUGGUGUAGACCAGAGGCUACAGCUCCAACUCAACCCCUAGCCUGGGAACCUCCAUAUGCCACAGGUGUGGCCCUAAAAAAAAAAAAGAGAAAACAAAACAAACAAACAAACAAAUGCUGAUGCCGAUCUCAAUUGUAAUGUACAGAUUUACAAAGGAAUUUUAUAGGAGUUCCUGCCCUGGAGCAGCGGAAACGAAUCUGACUAGGAACCCUGAGGUUGCGGGUUCAAUCCCUGGCCUUGCUUAUUGGGUUAAGGAUCUGGUAUUGCCGUGAGCAGUGGUGUGUCUAUGUCUCAGACAAGGCUCAGAUCCUGCAUUGCUGUGGCUGUGAUGUAGGCCAGUGGCUGUAGCUCUGAUUGGAUCUCCACAUGCCUCUGGUGAGGCCCUAAAAAAAGACAAAGAUAAAAAUAAAUAAAUAAAUUUUAAAAAAGAAAGGAAUCUUGUAGAAGUGACAUUUUUUUUAUUCCAAAGCGUAAAUCAUAAAGAUUCAGCCAGGUAACUUCCCUUUUAAAGGUAAAUAAGUGAAAAUUCAUUUUUAGCAGCAUUUUCACCUUUUAAUUGGGAAGUGUGGCUUUAAGUUUAUGGUUAUUGCUUUUUAUUGCUUUUGGGGGGCUAUUAUGAGUUAAUUGUUUAUCAUCACAAUAAAAGGUCUCUUUUUUUCCUAAAAG
rnacentral:lncRNA from 1 species